rnacentral:rRNA from 1 species
CACGUAGGGUGCGAGCGUUGUCCGGAAUUAUUGGGCGUAAAGAGCUCGUAGGCGGUGUGUCGCGUCGGCCGUGAAAACCUGCAGCUUAACUGUGGGCUUGCGGUCGAUACGGGCAUCACUGGAGUUCGGCAGGGGAGACUGGAAUUCCUGGUGUAGCGGUGAAAUGCGCAGAUAUCAGGAGGAACACCGGUGGCGAAGGCGGCACUCUGGGCCGGUACUGACGCUGAGGAGCGAAAGCGUGGGGAGCGAACAGG